rnacentral:lncRNA from 1 species
CGAACAUAUAGAUUUCUAUGUAUUAAACAAUUUGAACAAAAAAAAAAGAAAGUUGAAUUAUGAAAAGUAAUUGAGCAAACACGAGGAAAAAUUCACUAUUAGCUUCAUAUAUAAAAAUAAAAAUAAAAAAUAAAUGGAUUUCCAAAAUGGGGGUCUUGAUUUUACCGAAGAGACCCAGAUUAGUGUGUUGCCGAGAGAGAAGAGAAGCUCAAGAUCAAAGCCAUCAAUGGCGGAACAAAAUUCCUCUUUGACAUCGACGACGAUGAACUCCUCGAUUCCGACGACUCCCUUCCCUCUGAUCCGAAAUCUCACCAUGGCCCACCCAAUCUCGCCCCUUCUUCACCAAACCCUGAUCCAUCUUGGCAAUAGACUGAUCUCGCGCCAAAUAAGUAAUUAGGCGUCUUUUUCUUAAUUUUUUU